UACCGAACGGAUCGCAUUAUAAUUAUCAUUAUUUGAUGAUUGGCGAUAGAUCAUUCAAGUUUCUGACCUAUCAGCUUUCGACGGUAGUGUAUUGGACUACCGUGGCAGUGACGGGUAACGGGGAAUUAGGGUUCGAUUCCGGAGAGGGAGCCUGAGAAACGGCUACCACAUCUAAGGAAGGCAGCAGGCGCGCAAAUUACCCAAUCCUGACUCAGGGAGGUAGUGACAAGAAAUAACAACACUGGAAAUUUGAUUUCUAGUGAUUGGAAUGAUGGGAAUCCAAACCCCUUUCAGAGUAACAAUUGGAGGGCAAGUCUGGUGCCAGCAGCCGCGGUAAUUCCAGCUCCAAUAGCGUAUAUUAAAGUUGUUGCAGUUAAAAAGCUCGUAGUUGGAUGUCUGUUGGAAGCAAUCAUCAGUCCGCCCUAUUUGAUUAGGGUGUGAAUAUGAUGAAUUCCGGCAUAAUUGUCUCCCUAUUGUUAAUAUUCUGAUUGUUAGAUUCAUUUCUAACAAUAAUACGAUUAUUAAUAAUAAGGGGGAAAUGUUACUUUGAGAAAAUUAGAGUGUUUGAAGCAGGCUUUUGUUGCCUUGAAUACUGCAGCAUGGAAUAACAAUAUAGGAUUUCGGUUCUAUUUUGUUGGUUCUUUUUUUAGGACUGAAAUAAUGAUUAAUAGGGACAGUUGGGGGCAUUCGUAUUUAACUGUCAGAGGUGAAAUUCUUAGAUUUGUUAAAGACGAACUACUGCGAAAGCAUUUGCCAAAGAUGUUUUCAUUAAUCAAGAACGAAAGUUAGGGGCUCGAAGACGAUCAGAUACCGUCGUAGUCUUAACCAUAAACUAUGCCGACUAGAGAUAGGAAAUUGUCAUUUUACUUGACUUCUCCUGC
rnacentral:rRNA from 1 species